UAUGUGAUCGUCUCUCGCAUAUCAAUAAGCGGAGGAAAAGAAACUAACAAGGAUUCCCCUAGUAACGGCGAGUGAAGCGGGAAGAGCUCAAAUUUGAAAUCUUAAAGGGUUUCCCCUUACGAAUUGUAGUUUAAAGAAGUGUUUUCUGUUGAGGUUUUGGUAAAGGUUCUUUGGAAUAGGACAUCAUAGAGGGUGAGAAUCCCGUAUUUGACCUUUACUUUCAACUUUGUGAUACACUUUCAAAGAGUCGGAUUGUUUGGGAAUGCAGUCCAAAAUGGGUGGUAAAUUUCAUCUAAAGCUAAAUAUUGGCGAGAGACCGAUAGCGAUCAAGUACCGUGAGGGAAAGAUGAAAAGAACUUUGAAAAGAGAGUUAAACAGUACGUGAAAUUGUCAAAAGGGAAGCGUUUGACACCAGUGUUGUUUUUCUGAAAAUCAAUUAAAGAACUGUUUAUGCUAAGUUGUUUAGACUUUAUCAGCUAUCUGUUUAGUUUUGAGCUCUUCUUUAAUGCACUUUUCAGUUAACAAGUCAACAUCAAUUUCUUUUGCUGUAAAAAAGCUUGAGGAAGGUGGCUUGAGAUUCGUCUUAAGUGUUUAUAGCCUCUUGCCUAUGCAGUCGGAGAGAUUGAGGUCUGCAGCGUAGAUCCUUCGGGGCUAAAUGCAUUUGUGCUAAGUUAUAGCAUUUUAUAGACAACUUGUUGACUAUGAUUUGUCUUGUAGCUUACUCGCUUAUGUUAUUUUACCUACGCUUAGGAUGUUGACACACGCGCGUGCUCG
rnacentral:rRNA from 1 species